ACCAAGGCUCUUUUCAGAGCCACCCACAGAUUUCACAUAAAGAGCU
rfam:Picoides pubescens contig35232, whole genome shotgun sequence.